rnacentral:rRNA from 1 species
GCUUCGAAGGAGGUUUAUUUUGAGACACCGCCCGUUCUCUUGUGGACUUCUGUUUUGAAGAGAGUUUCACUGCUCUUUUUAAAAUACCACUCUGUCACUGAGAGCAAAUUGGAGUGCUCAAAGCAGCUUGAUAGCUUGAACAUUUUAGCUUGGGAAUGACAGAUAUGACUUUUUGUUUUUAUUUUUGUUGGUUAUGAAAUAAAAAGUAAUGAUUACAGACAGCGCGAGUAUCGUAUUGAAAGGUCAGAGGUGAAAUUCUUGGAUUCUUCAAGACGAACAACUGCGAAAGCAUUUACCAAGGAUGUUUUCAUUAAUCAAGAACGAAAGCUCGGGGAUCGAAGAUGAUUAGAUACCAUCGUAGUCCGACGCCAUAAACGAUGCCGACUCGGGAUUGUUUUGUUUAUUCAAAUUUGAAACGAAUCAAAGCAGCACCGUAUGAGAAAUCAAAGUCUUUGGGUUCCGGGGGGAGUAUGGUCGCAAGGCUGAAACUUAAAGGAAUUGACGGAAGGGCACACCAGAGGUGGAGCCUGCGGUUUAAUUUGACUCAACACGGGGAAACUUACCAGGUCCAGACAUGAUGAGGAUUGACAGUUUGAAAGCACUUUCUUGAUUUCAUGGGUGGUGGUGCAUGGCCGUUCUUAGUUGGUGGAGUGAUUUGUCUGGUUGAUUCCGAUAACGAACGAGACGGGGGGAGUUUACUAGCAUGUCCUGUAACUCACGUUACAAAGGAGGCUUCUUUACUCGACAACUUG